UCUCACAUUGUAAGUUGAGAUAU
rnacentral:snRNA from 1 species